GUGGAGCCUGCGGCUUAAUUUGACUCAACACGGGAAACCUCACCAGGCCCGGACACCAGAAGGAUUGACAGAUUAAGAGCUCUUUCUCGAUUUGGUGGGUGGUGGUGCAUGGCCGUUCUUAGUUGGUGGAGUGAUUUGUCUGGUUAAUUCCGGUAACGAACGAGACUCUGGCCUACUAAAUAGUCGACGGGCGUUUUGGUGCAUGGGCCCCGUUCGACACAGUCUUCUUAGAGGGAUGAGCAGCGAGUAUAGCUGCAGGAGAUUGAGCAAUAACAGGUCUGUGAUGCCCUUAGAUGUCCUGGGCCGCACGCGCGCUACACUGAAUGGGUUAGCGGGUUGUCCUUCUCCGAGAGGAGCGGGAAAUCGCGUGAAAACCAUUCGUGAUAGGGAUUGGGGCUUGCAAUUGUUUCCCAUCAACGAGGAAUUCCCAGUAAGCGCAAGUCAUCAGCUUGCGUUGAUUAAGUCCCUGCCCUUUGUACACACCGCCCGUCGCUACUACCGAUUGAAUGAUUUAGUGAGGCCUUCGGACUGGCGGUCUUGGACUGGGGCGCCGGCUCUCUCCCAGCAAUGGGGUGCCGGUGACUCGCCUCGACGAGCCGGAAAGAUGUCCAAACUUGAUCAUUUAGAGGAAGUAAAAGUCGUAACAAGGUUUCC
rnacentral:rRNA from 1 species